UCAGAUGUGAAAGCCCGCGCUCAACUGCGGGACUGCAUUUUGAAACUGUCAGACUGGAGUGCAGGAGAGGAAAGUGGAAUCCUAGUGUAGCGGUGAAAUGCGUAGAUAUUAGGAAGAACACCAGUGGCGAAGGCGGCUUCUGGACUGUAACUGACACUGAGGCUCGAAAGCGUGGGGAGCAAACAGGAUUAGAUACCCUGUAGUCCACGCCGUAAACGAUGAAUACUAGGUGUCGGGUGGCAAAGCCAUUCGGUGCCGCGCUAACGCAAUAAGUAUUCCACCUGGGGAGUACGUUCGCAAGAAUGAAACUCAAAGGAAUGACGGGGACCCGCACAAGCGGUGGAGCAUGUGGUUUAAUUCGAAGCAACGCGAAGAACCUACCUGAUCUUGACAUCCUCCUGACCAUCUGAUGUAAUGUCGGACUUCCUUCGGGACAGGAAGACAGGUGGUGCAUGGUUGUCGUCAGCUCGUGUCGUGAGAUGUUGGGUUAAGUCCCGCACGAGCGCAACCCUUGUCCUUAGUUGCCAGCACUUCGGGUGGGCACUCUAGGGAGACUGCCGGGAUAACCUGGAGGAAGGUGGGGACGACGUCAAAUCAUCAUGCCCCUUAUGACCAGGGCACACACGUGCUACAAUGGCGUAAACAAAGAGAAGCGAGCCUGUGAAGGGGAGCCAACCUCAAAAUAACGUCUCAGUUCGGACUGCAGUCUGCAACUCGACUGCACGAAGCUGGAAUCGCUGUAAUCGCGAAUCAGAAUGUCGCGGUGAAUACGUUCCCGGGUCUUGCACACACCGCCCGU
rnacentral:rRNA from 1 species